rnacentral:rRNA from 1 species
UUCCGGUUGAUCCCGCCGGACCUGACUGCUAUCGGAUUGAUACUAAGCCAUGCGAGUCUUUGCAGUAAUGCAAGGCAUACGGCUCAGUAACACGUAGUCAACUUACCCUAUGGACGAGGAUAAUCUCGGGAAACUGAGGAUAAUACUCGAUAGAUCAUUAUGCCUGGAACGGUUAAUGGUUAAAACGAUUCGUCGCCAUAGGAUGGGACUGCGGCCUAUCAGCUUGUUGGUGAGGUAAUGGCCCACCAAGGCGAUUACAGGUACGGGCUCUGAGAGGAGAAGCCCGGAGAUGGGUACUGAGACAAGGACCCAGGCCCUAUGGGGCGCAGCAGGCGAGAAAACUUUGCAAUGUGCGAAAGCACGACAAGGUUAGUCCGAGUGAUUUCUGCUAAAGAAAUCUUUUGCAAGUCAUAAAACCACUAGUGAAUAAGGGGUGGGCAAGUUCUGGUGUCAGCCGCCGCGGUAAAACCAGCACCUCAAGUGGUCAGGAUGAUUAUUGGGCCUAAAGCAUCCGUAGCCGGCUCUGUUAGUUUUCGGUUAAAUCUAUGUGCUCAACGCAUGGGCUGCCGAAAAUACUGCAGGGCUAGGGAGUGGGAGAGGUAGACGGUACUCGGUAGGAAGGGGUAAAAUCCUUUGAUCUAUCGAUGACCACCUGUGGCGAAGGCGGUCUACCAGAACACGUUCGACGGUGAGGGAUGAAAGCUGGGGGAGCAAACCGGAUUAGAUACCCGGGUAGUCCCAGCUGUAAACGAUGCAGACUCGAUGAUGCAUUGGCUUAUUGCCAAUGCAGUGUCGCAGGGAAGCCGUUAAGUCUGCCGCCUGGGAAGUACGUACGCAAGUAUGAAACUUAAAGGAAUUGGCGGGGGAGCACCACAAGGGGUGAAGCCUGCGGUUCAAUUGGAUUCAACGCCGGG